AUUGAACGCUGGCGGCAGGCUUAACACAUGCAAGUCGAGCGGAGAGAGGUAGCUUGCUACUGAUCUUAGCGGCGGACGGGUGAGUAAUGCUUAGGAAUCUGCCUAUUAGUGGGGGACAACAUUUCGAAAGGAACGCUAAUACCGCAUACGUCCUACGGGAGAAAGCAGGGGACCUUCGGGCCUUGCGCUAUCAGAUGAGCCUAGGUCGGAUUAGCUAGUUGGUGAGGUAAUGGCUCACCAAGGCUACGAUCCGUAACUGGUCUGAGAGGAUGAUCAGUCACACUGGAACUGAGACACGGUCCAGACUCCUACGGGAGGCAGCAGUGGGGAAUAUUGGACAAUGGGCGAAAGCCUGAUCCAGCCAUGCCGCGUGUGUGAAGAAGGCCUUCGGGUUGUAAAGCACUUUCAGUAAGGAGGAAGCGUUGAGUGUUAAUAGUACUCAGCGUUGACGUUACUUACAGAAGAAGCACCGGCUAACUCUGUGCCAGCCGCCGCAGUAAAAC
rnacentral:rRNA from 1 species